CAUGCAAGUCGAACGAAGUAGCAAUACUUAGUGGCAGACGGGUGAGUAACAUGUAGGUAUCUGCCCUUUGGCCUGGAAUAACACGAGGAAACUUGUGCUAAUACCGGAUAAGUCUUUACGGAGAAAGCUUUAUGCACCAUUGGAUGAGCCUGCACUUGAUUAGUUUGUUGGUGGGGUAAUGGCCUACCAAGACUGUGAUCAAUAGCUGAUUUGAGAGGAUGAUCAGCCACAUUGGGACUGAGACACGGCCCAAACUCCUACGGGAGGCAGCAGUGGGGAAUCUUGCACAAUGGAGGAAACUCUGAUGCAGCGAUGCCGCGUGAGUGAAGAAGGCCUUUGGGUUGUAAAGCUCUUUCGUCGGGGAAGAAAAUGACUGUACCCGAAUAAGAAGGUCCGGCUAACUUCGUGCCAGCAGCCGCGGUAAUACGAAGGGACCUAGCGUAGUUCGGAAUUACUGGGCUUAAAGAGUUCGUAGGUGGUUGAAAAAGUUAGUGGUGAAAUCCCAGAGCUUAACUCUGGAACUGCCAUUAAAACUUUUCAGCUAGAGUAUGAUAGAGGAAAGCAGAAUUUCUAGUGUAGAGGUGAAAUUCGUAGAUAUUAGAAAGAAUACCAAUUGCGAAGGCAGCUUUCUGGAUCAUUACUGACA
rnacentral:rRNA from 1 species